rnacentral:rRNA from 1 species
CCUUAGUAGCGGCGAGCGAAACGGGAAGAGCCCAAACCAACAAGCUUGCUUGUUGGGGUUGUAGGACACUCUAUACGGAGUUACAAAGGACGACAUUAGACGAAUCAUCUGGAAAGAUGAAUCAAAGAAGGUAAUAAUCCUGUAGUCGAAAAUGUUGUCUCUCUUGAGUGGAUCCUGAGUACGACGGAGCACGUGAAAUUCCGUCGGAAUCUGGGAGGACCAUCUCCUAAGGCUAAAUACUCUCUAGUGACCGAUAGUGAACCAGUACCGUGAGGGAAAGGUGAAAAGCACCCCGGAAGGGGAGUGAAAUAGAACCUGAAACCGUGUGCUUACAAGUAGUCAGAGCCCGUUAAUGGGUGAUGGCGUGCCUUUUGUAGAAUGAACCGGCGAGUUACGAUUUGAUGCAAGGUUAAGCAGUAAAUGUGGAGCCGUAGCGAAAGCGAGUCUGAAUAGGGCGUUUAGUAUUUGGUCGUAGACCCGAAACCAGGUGAUCUACCCUUGGUCAGGUUGAAGUUCAGGUAACACUGAAUGGAGGACCGAACCGACUUACGUUGAAAAGUGAGCGGAUGAACUGAGGGUAGCGGAGAAAUUCCAAUCGAACCUGGAGAUAGCUGGUUCUCUCCGAAAUAGCUUUAGGGCUAGCCUCAAGUGAUGAUUAUUGGAGGUAGAGCACUGUUUGGACGAGGGGCCCCUCUCGGGUUACCGAAUUCAGACAAACUCCGAAUGCCAAUUAAUUUAACUUGGGAGUCAGAACAUGGGUGAUAAGGUCCGUGUUCGAAAGGGAAACAGCC